rnacentral:rRNA from 1 species
GCCUUUAUGGCCACACCACCCUGAACGCAUGCACGGGAUCUCGACUGAUCUUGGAAGCUAAGCAGAGUCGGGCCUGGGUAGUACUUGGGAUGCGAGACCCCCUGGGAAUACUGGGUGCUGAAGGCU